CGUGUGAGUAACACGUGGAUAACCUACCUAUAAGACUGGGAUAACUUCGGGAAACCGGAGCUAAUACCGGAUAAUAUAUUGAACCGCAUGGUUCAAUAGUGAAAGACGGUUUUGCUGUCACUUAUAGAUGGAUCCGCGCCGCAUUAGCUAGUUGGUAAGGUAACGGCUUACCAAGGCAACGAUGCGUAGCCGACCUGAGAGGGUGAUCGGCCACACUGGAACUGAGACACGGUCCAGACUCCUACGGGAGGCAGCAGCU
rnacentral:rRNA from 1 species